CCGGAAGUGAUCAGCAUAAACUGCAAAAUAUAGUUUAAAAUCACAGUUUUUGGUUGAAUAAUACUUGAACUGGAGAUUUAAAGUAAAAUGCGAAGUCGUUUUACUUAUAUUAGGGAAUGUUGGGCAUAUAAAACGGACUUAGCCGCUGACUACAAAAGCGGGAGCAAAAUGUCCCAUAUUUCUGGUAAUGUUUUGAGAAGUCAGCAUGU